UGGGGAAUAUUGCACAAUGGGCGAAAGCCUGAUGCAGCGACGCCGCGUGAGGGAUGACGGCCUUCGGGUUGUAAACCUCUUUCAGCAGGGACGAAGCGCAAGUGACGGUACCUGCAGAAGAAGCACCGGCUAACUACGUGCCAGCAGCCGCGGUAAUACGUAGGGUGCAAGCAUUGUCCGGAAUUACUGGGCGUAAAGAGUUCGUAGGCGGUUUGUCGCGUCGUUUGUGAAAACCAGCUGCUCAACUGCUGGCUUGCAGGCGAUACGGGCAGACUUGAGUACUGCAGGGGAGACUGGAAUUCCUGGUGUAGCGUUGAAAUGCGCAGAUAUCAGGAGGAACACCGGUGGCGAAGGCGGGUCUCUGGGCAGUAACUGACGCUGAGGAACGAAAGCGUGGGUAGCGAACAGG
rnacentral:rRNA from 1 species